rnacentral:rRNA from 1 species
CAGUAGCCGCGGUAAUACGGAGGGGGCUAGCGUUGCUCGGAAUUACUGGGCGUAAAGGGCGCAUAGGCGGACAGUUAAGUUGGGGGUGAAUGCCCCGGGCUCAACCUGGGAAUUGCUUUUGAUACUGUGUUGCUUGAGUUCGGGAGAGGUGAGUGGAAUUCCCAGUGUAAAGGUGAAAUUCGUAGAUAUUGGGAAGAACACCGGUGGCGAAGGCGGCUCACUGGACCGACACUGACGCUGAGGCGCGAAAGCGUGGGGAGCAAACAGGAUUAGAUACCCGGGUAGUCCCUGUCUCUUAUAC